AGCGGCGGACGGGUGAGUAACGCGUGGGUAACCUGCCUCAUACACAUGGAUAACAUACCGAAAGGUAUGCUAAUACAAGAUGAUAUAAGAGAUUCGCAUGGAUUUCUUAUCAAAGCUCCGGCAGUAUGAGAUGGACCCGCGUCUGAUUAGCUAGUUGGUAAGGUAACGGCUUACCAAGGCGACGAUCAGUAGCCGACCUGAGAGGGUGAUCGGCCACAUUGGAACUGAGACACGGUCCAAACUCCUACGGGAGGCAGCAGUGGGGAAUAUUGCACAAUGGGCGAAAGCCUGAUGCAGCAACGCCGCGUGAGCGAUGAAGGCCUUCGGGUCGUAAAGCUCUGUCCUCAAGGAAGAUAAUGACGGUACUUGAGGAGGAAGCCCCGGCUAACUACGUGCCAGCAGCCGCGGUAAUACGUAGGGGGCUAGCGUUAUCCGGAUUUACUGGGCGUAAAGGGUGCGUAGGUGGUUUCUUAAGUCAGGAGUGAAAGGCUACGGCUCAACCGUAGUAAGCUCUUGAAACUGGGAAACUUGAGUGCAGGAGAGGAAAGUGGAAUUCCUAGUGUAGCGGUGAAAUGCGUAGAUAUUAGGAGGAACACCAGUAGCGAAGGCGGCUUUCUGGACUGUAACUGACACUGAGGCACGAAAGCGUGGGGAGCAAACAGGAUUAGAUACCCUGGUAGUCCACGCCGUAAACGAUGAGUACUAGGUGU
rnacentral:rRNA from 1 species